UAGCAGCUAACUAGCGUUAUAUAGACAACAUCUAUAAACCAAGUCCUGUAUCCAACGCGAAUGAAAGACUACCUGGGGCAACAGCUCUUGUGGACAUUCCUGCAGUCAGCAUUCCAAUUGCACGCUCCCUUGAGACAUCUGUGGCAUUGUGUUGUGUGACACAACUGCACAUUUUAGUGCUCCCCGCUCCUGCGGCAAGGACCUCAACAUGACAGCAGGACAUAUGCCCAGGCCGUAAGCAGAGCAACAGGCCCAACCCCCACUAUUACACCCGCCCAAGCUCCUGUGACCUAAGAGGACCUGAGCCCUAGGAUCAUGCCUCAGGACUACCUGGCAUGAUGACUCCUUGCUGUCCCCAGUCCACCUGGCCGUGCUGCUGCUCCAGUUUCAACUGUUCUGCCUGCAGCUAUGGAACCCUGACCUGUUCACCGGACGUGCUACCUGUCCCAGACCUGCUGUUUUCAACUCUCUAGAAACAGCAGGAGCGGUAGAGAUACUCUUAAUGAUCGGCUAUGAAAAGCCAACUGACAUUUACUCCUGAGGUGCUGACUUGCUGCACCCUCAACAACUACUGUGAUUAUUAUUAUUUGACCAUGCUGGUCAUUUAUGAACAUUUGAACAUCUUGGCCAUGUUCUGUUAUAAUCUCCACCCGGCACAGCCAGAAGAGGACUGGCCACCCCUCAUAGCCUGGUUUCUCUCUGGGUUUCUUCCUAGGUUUUGGCCUUUCUAGGGAGUUUUUCCUAGCAACCGUGCUUCUACACCUGCAUUGCUUGCUGUUUGGGGUUUUAGGCUGGGUUUCUGUACAGCACUUUGAGAUAUCAGCUGACGUAAGAAGGGCUAUAUAAAUAAAUUUGAUUUGAUUCAGCCAGGGGCCGAUUAUUAUUACACUGGGCUGCAGGUAGCCUAGUGGUUAGAGCAUUGGACGAGUUACCGAAAGGUUGCAAGAUCGAAUCCACGAGCUGACAAGGUACAAAUCUGUCGUUCUGCACCUGAACUAGGCAGUUAACCCACUGUUCCUAGGCCAUCAUUGAAAAUAAGAAUUUACCUUACCUUAAAUAAAGGUUAAAAAAAAUUAAAAAUAAAGGAGACUACAUAAACCAAACCAUUUAAACUGGAACAACCAUUUCAGUAACAGGUGCAAUACAUCUAACUGAUUUGAUUAGUUUAGAAAAAGUAUGUUGUGCAUCUUUGUGUUGCAUGUGAUUAAUCAAUCAAUAAAUGUACUUGCAAAAACGAUCCUAAAAAAAAUCUACCAGGCCUCUCAGGUGGCGCAGUGGUCUAAGGCACUGCAUCGCAGUGCUAGCUCUGCCCAAUGAGACUCUGGGUUCAAGCCCUGUCGUGACCGGGAGGUCCAUGGGGCGACACACAAUUGGCCCAGCAGCGUCCGGGUUAGGGAGGGCUUGGCCGGUAGGGAUAUCUUUGUCUCAUCGCACACCAGCGAGUCCUGUGGCAGGCCGGGCGCAGCGGAUACUGACCAGGGGCACGGAGCCUCCUCUGACACAUUGGUGCAGCUGGCUUCCGGGUUGGAUGCGCGCCGUGUUAAGAAGCAGUGCAGCUUGAUUGGAUUGUGUUUCAGAGGAUGCAUGACUCUUGACCUUCGUCUCUCCCGAGCCUGUACAGGAGUUGUAGCAAUGAGACAAGAUAGUAACUACUAAAAAUAAUUAGAUACUAUGAAAUUGGUGUGGAAAAAGGGGGUAUAAAUAAAUACAAUGUAAAAAAUAUAACUGCUGUAUGAUAAUGAUGGGUGUGGUUUUGAUGGAGAACUUUUACUCUCCACAGAGUAAAACUGACACAAUCACAUUCUCAAACACAACUCUGGUUAUUAACACCAACACUGGGGUUAUUUUACACUAUUUGAGAGUUACAUUAACUCUAUGGGUUAAAUUAACACCUGAAUCAACACUAGAAAUGUUACAUUGAAAAAUCAACACGAGGUAACACUGGACGAUAUGCUGUGUAAGUGAUAUUCAUCAAGAAUCAAUGGGUAGUAUCAGUCAUUUAAAUGCUUUUUUUUUUUUUUUUUUUUUUUUUUUCAAAUAACACGGAAUGGGCCUUUAAUGUCAUCAACUUGAACAUCAUUGUCACUUCUGACCUUUAUUUCCUUUGUUUUGUCAUUAUUUAGUAUGGUCAGGGCGUGAGUUGGGGUGGACAGUCUAUGUUUGUUUUUCUAUGAUUUUGGGAUUUCUAUGUUUCGGCCUAGUAUGGUCCUCAAUCAGAGGCAGGUGUCAUUAGUUGUCUCUGAUUGAGAAUCAUACUUAGGUAGCCUGGGUUUCACUGUUUGUUUGUGGGUGUUUGUUUCCGUGUCUGUGUUUGUUCGCCACACGGUACUGUUUCGGUUUUGUUCACGUUAAUUGUAUUUGUAUUAGUGUUCAUGUUGAGUUUUUUCACAUUAAAAACAUGGACACUUGCCACGCCG